rnacentral:lncRNA from 1 species
CUUCGGCUCUUCCCGGAGCCGCUUCGGGCGUUUCCGGAGCCGUUCGGCUCUUUCCGGACCCCUUCCGGUGUUUCCGGAGCCCGCUCGGCUCCGCCCCGCCCCCUCCCUUCGGCUACUUCCGGCAGACUUCGGCUACUUCCGGUAAGCUUCGGGUGUUUCCGCCCUGACCUCGGCAACUUCCGGAAAUCUUCGGCAACUUCCGGCCAGGCUUCGGCUCCUCCCGCUCCCCCCCCGCCCCUCGGGGUCCCCUUCGGCAAUUUCCGUCAAUUUUCGCCAAUUUUCGCCGAUUUCCGCCCAAACUUCGGCUUUUUCCGCCAAUUUCCGCCAAAUUUCGGCCCCCUCCCGCCCCCUCUCGCCCUCCCCCUUUCUCCCCCUCCCCUCUCCUAACCCGGAUGUGACGUCAUCCCGCCCCACCGGAAGUGGCGGCCUGCUUCCGGGUCGUGGGUGGGCGGGGUUACGGCGGAUGUGGCGUCACGGGGCGUGCCGGAAGUGGGGGGGGGGGCGGUGUUUUGGGUAGGGUCGCCUCCAAGGGGUUUGUUUACGUCGGGAGGGGUCGUUUAUGUAGGGUCUACCGGAAGUGGGCGUGUUUACAUCCCGCGGGUUUGUGUAGGGCCUACCGGAAGGCCCCUUGUUUGUGUAGGGCCUACUCAAAAGGGGGUUGUUUACGUCGGGCCUACCCCAAAGGGCGUUGUUUACGUUGUGUUCUUGCCCGUGGGUUUAUGUAGGGCCUACCAGAAGGCCCCUUGUUUACAUAGCACCUACCAGGAAGGGGAUUGUUUACAUAUGACCUACUGGAAAGCCCAUUGUUUAUGUAGGGCCUACCACAACAGGCCUUGUUUACAUCGUGUUCUCGCCCCUGGGUUUAUGUAGGGCCUACCAGAAAGCCGACUGUUUACGUAGGACCUGCCAGAAGUGGAGUUGUUUCCAUAGGACCCCCCAAAACCGCCUUCGUUUUGGUAGGACCUACAGAAACGCUCUUGUUUGCAUAGCACCCCCACGUGGAUUUGUUUACAUAGGACCUACAAAAACAAGCUUGUUUACGUAGGACACCCAACAAAGGGGUUUGUUUAUGUAGGCCCUACAAAAAGGGGCUUGUUUACGUGGGACACCCAAGCUGGUUUACGUAGGACCUACAGCAAGGCGUUUGUUUACAUCGGACCCGCCCCCAAAUCCCUCUUUGUUUGGGUAGGACCUACAGCAACACUCUCCUUUACGUAGCACCCCCACAUAGGUUUGUUUACGUAGGACCUACCGAAACAGCUCUGUUUACAUAGGACCCCCCCCCCACAAUGGGUCUUGUUUACGUAGGACCUACAAAAACUUGUUUACAUCCCCCCCCUCCAAACCUUCUCCGUUUACGUAGGCCCUACAGAAACGCCUUUGUUUAUGCGGCCCCGCCCCCACCCCCCGCGGCCCCGCCCCCACACGGCCGGCAUGGCUGCCAGGACCUCUUUAUUUACGUCGGGCCCUACAAAAACGCCCCCGCGCUAUGGGGCAGCCCCACGGCGGGGGGGGGGGCGA